GAGGGUCCACCUGUUCCCAUCCCGAACACAGAAGUUAAGCUCGCUUCUGCCCACGAUACUUGGCUGGAGACGGCCCGGAAAAAUAGGUAGCGCCAACA
rnacentral:rRNA from 1 species